GAAGCACUAACCGAAGCUGUUAAUCACCUCCAGGUGUUUUGACUUGUCUACUUACUGGGUAGUAUAGGGUUGAAGAUGUUAUUGCUGCUGCUCUUCUUGUGUCUUGCCUCCAUUUUUACAGUCUGUAUACCAUAAUUACAGCAUUUAUUCACCUGAGGCUGACAGGCUCUGACUUCAGAGCCUUCUCUGACUUCUGACUUCUUUGUGCUCCCUCAUAAUUUAACUGUGCUUUGGGGGCCUGGUUUAUGAGCCUGAGGAACAGCAAUUCCCAUGUUAGGAACCAUAGACCUGGAAGGCUGCAUUCAAGUCCAUUUCCACAUUCUGUGAUGAGAUUGGAUCCAAAGGAGAAUCACAAUUUGGUGAGACUGGAGAUGGAAGCUGACAGGCAAUGCCAGGUCUGGGGCAGCUGACAGCCAUGAGAAGCUUCAAUGUCCACCUCAUUUCUGGGCAGAUUUAAUAAAGUGUUUGUAGCUGCCUCACACAGAGGACUUUCUACUGUAUUUUAUUAUAAGCAAAACAAUUCCAGGCCUGCCUCAGAGCUUAUGAGACAGUUCAGUAAGUAUGGAGAAGAGUAUGUUAGCAAAGCAGUAUCACAGAAAUAUGAAAGAGAGGGGAAUAAUAGUGUGAAGAGCUCUGGAGUAUUUCAGUUUUUCAUCACCAGUGGUGACUAAAAAGUGGCAAAAAAGAAUUUCCUCCCCAGGUCUAAAGGCAAAUGGAUUAAAAUGAUGAAGCGUUUUUAAUUCACUGAAGGCUGCAGAAAACCAAAAAUAUUUCCCAUAUCUUCUACAGCUUUAGGAAGUGUUGUGGAAGAGAUCUAUAAUGCAAACCCUGUAGAGGUGGAGCAGCAACAUAAGGCAUUUCUGAUCUCUCCCCAGUUAUUUUUCUGUCAUCAGGUUCCUAUCUGCGUGCAGGUGUAGCGCUCAAGGAGCCUGUCUGAUGGACCGAGAUCAUACAGGCCGUGUGCAACAUGGCUUUUUCACAGUCCCUAGAACAGCCAAGGGAGAACAAGGAAGGGACUGUGGGGGCUCCAGUGGAACUGAAAUUCAAUUACAUGCCUCCUGUAGACCUAACCUCACUGUAAAAAUUGGCCUGACAAUUUUACCUUUAAUUGUGCCUAUGUGAAAUCUCUUUGAUGUUAAAGAUGGUCUGCCCUCAUCCACCUUUCUUGUCAUACUGUGAGCAAGCCUCACUAAAUUGGGUAGCAAGAUGCAGACCUUUCAGGAACCCAGACAUGAACAGCUUUCUCCAGCCCUUGAAAGUACAUGGGAUUGAUCUGUUUGCUGUACAAUCCCCAAGCCCCAGGCUAUGGAUAAAAUUUCUUAGAAGAGAGGCAAAGUAAAUCAAUUCUGUUCUGUUUCUGGGGUAAAGUUGGUCAAUAGAUGAUAUUUUAAAGCACCUCCAUCAACAAUUUAUGAGAUUUAUUCAGUUUAUGCGAAAGAGCACUCCAUAAUCAUCACUACACAGCGAUGGCCCAACAGGGUGUUGCUAACUGGAUAUCAUUUAAUAAAAGUUUUUCAAGUGCUCA
rnacentral:lncRNA from 1 species